rnacentral:rRNA from 1 species
UGGGGAAUAUUGGACAAUGGGCGCAAGCCUGAUCCAGCAAUGCCGCGUGAGUGAUGAAGGCCUUCGGGUUGUAAAGCUCUUUCGCACGCGACGAUGAUGACGGUAGCGUGAGAAGAAGCCCCGGCUAACUUCGUGCCAGCAGCCGCGGUAAUACGAAGGGGGCUAGCGUUGUUCGGAAUUACUGGGCGUAAAGGGCGCGUAGGCGGUGUGUCAAGUCAGGCGUGAAAGCCCCGGGCUCAACCUGGGAACCGCGCUUGAGACUGGCACGCUCGAGUUCGGGAGAGGAUGGUGGAAUUCCCAGUGUAGAGGUGAAAUUCGUAGAUAUUGGGAAGAACACCGAUGGCGAAGGCAGCCAUCUGGACCGACACUGACGCUGAGGCGCGAAAGCGUGGGGAGCAAACAGGAUUAGAUACCCUGGUAGUCCACGCCGUAAACGAUGAGUGCUAGACGUCGGGGCCCUUAGGGCUUCGGUGUCGCAGCUAACGCAUUAAGCACUCCGCC